CAUUAUGGUGGGCUGGCGGGGGCGGAGAAAUCCGCGCCGGUUCCUCUUACCCGGUAAGACCAACUCCGUCAGUUCACCACCCCU
rnacentral:antisense_RNA from 1 species